ensembl:lncRNA
UGGGGGGUGUACUCAUGAACACGCAAAGGUCUACUGGAUGCUGUGCUUCCACCGGACCACACUGUGGUAGAUGUCUUCCACUUGCCCCUCCAGACCACCUCCCCACCCUCCGGCCAUGCCCAGUGUCCUGCAAUGCUGACCUUUGUGAAUGGGCUCAUCCAAGGCUACUUUGCCCUGGCUUCUGGUCAGGUUCAGCCAAUGGAAGGCACUGGGAGCAGGAAGUUAUUGCUUCCUCGAACUUGCAGUGAGUUGUCUAAUUCUCCUAACAAAGGCUGCAGCUCUGACCAGGUGGCCGUAUUCUAACCACUUCAGCACUUGUGCCUUCAGGUCUAGGAGAGAUGAAGCCUGCUCACCCUGGGAUUCCUCACCACUUGCAGGUUCUUUACCACUAGGGCCACCUGGGAAGCUCCCAAUCAUCUAUGCUGACCAGUAACUCCACCCCAGCCCUGCCAAUACUCAAUCAGAGAGAAGCUGUGCAGUGACCUUGGACAAGGUGUUUGUUGCCUCUCGUCGGAUCUAUCAGAGUCCUCAGGCUCCUAGAACAGCUCCUGCCUCAUCAAAUCCCUCCCAGUUGAGAUGGCUUCUAAACUCCAUCACCAGCUUCCUCAAUGCAGAUGGAAAACAUUCUGGAGUUGUUGAAUCCGGCAGUGAAAAUCUCACCUUUUAAUCAUACUUCAUCACUGACGGGGAGAACUUUCUUCCAAACCUGGCCCUCUGCCCAGCGGGGUCCAGAGCCAGCGUGUGACUGGCGCAAGAUGGAGUUCUGUAAUGGAUUAACAGGAGAGUUGCAUUUAAUAAAAGCCAAAGAACUUCUGAACACACAUGUUGGAGGAGAAAAGAAGCAAGUUAGAGCUCAGCAACUGACAGACAUAGCGCAUGGGGUGGGCGUUGGGGAGAAGAUGGUUCUCUCAGGACCAUAGGCACAAGGUCCUAAGGGCCAAGAAGGAAUCCUUGCUAGGAGGUAAUAUUAUUGUGCUGUGUGUUCAGUUAUGUCCAACUCUUGGUGACUCCACGGACUGUAGCCCACCAGGCUCCUCUGUCCGUGAAAUUUUCCAGGCUAGAAUACCGGAGUGGAUUGCCAUUUCCUUACUUCAGGGGAUCUUCCUGACCCAGGGAUCAAAUCUGUCUCUUGCAUCUCCUGCUGUGGCAGGUAG